UUGUCUCUUCUUCUUCUCCCUCACACGUCCGCCCCCCCUCGAAAUUUUCCUUUCUAGCCGUCGUCACCCAUCACCCAGCCGCUCGUCCAGACUAUCGUCGCUUGAGCCUAGUAGUCGGUCUCCACCAUUGCUCGUCGUUGACCUCGACCAAUCGGCCAGUCGUUCGUCCAGCAUCACUCGCCCUCCGCGCGCCGAUCUCGCCCAGUCGAUCAGAGUAGCGUCCGUGCUGCCGUCGCCUAGCUACUUGACCGUCACGUACCCGCCUGUCUCCUAACAGCUCGAGCUGCCACCGCGAGAUCUAGCCACGUCGUACCUGUUCGACGAAGCCGUUCGCAUCAGGGUCAUUGCCACCGCCGCCGCCUUCAGCCGAUCUCCACCACCGUCCAUCGUCGCGCUGCCCAGCCCCUGUUGCGUGGGUCUUCGUCAGACUCUUGGAUUUGGGUAAAGGUAGAGAUGCAUCGACAAUUGAUAAGUGGAAUUCGUGAUCGAGCCACUGGGACCAAUUUUAUGCUUCCGUUCGUGAUAUCUAGAUUUCUUUCCAUAUUUGUUUCAAAUUUCAGUUUUGCUGUUUGAAACUUACUAUUAAGAGUUGUUUUCAGACUUGUUAUUAUCUUUUAUGAUUUAUGGGUACCCUAUUAUUUGUUUUAAUAUUUGAAUUUAAUGAAGGACUUUUGAACU